rnacentral:rRNA from 1 species
ACCGUGGUAAUUCUAGAGCUAAUACAUGCUUAAACGCCCGACUUUAUGGAAGGGUGGUACUUAUUAGACUGAAGCCAAUAUUCCUUGUGUCUAUUGCGGUGAUUCAUAAUAACUGAUCGAAUCUCUUUUUGAGAUAAAUCAUUCAAGUUUCUGCCCUAUCAGCUUUCGAUGGUAGUGUAUUGGACUACCAUGGCAGUAACGGGUAACGAAGAAUUAGGGUUCGAUUUCGGAGAGGGAGCAUGAGAAACGGCUACCACAUCUAAGGAAGGCAGCAGGCGCGUAAAUUACCCAAUCCUGACUCAGGGAGGUAGUGACAAGAAAUAGCAAACCGGGAACCUCAUGGUUUCACGGUAUUGCAAUGAGAACAAUUUAAAACCCUUAGCGAGAAUCAAGUGGAGGACAAGUCUGGUGCCAGCACCCGCGGUAAUUCCAGCUCCACUAGCGUAUAUUAAAAGUUGUUGCAGUUAAAAAGCUCGUAGUUGAACCUCUGUCUGGGGCUAGUUUUGGCUUUGGUCAGGCUAGUUCUAGGCAUCCGCCUACAAGACUUAGAGGGCAUUCAGUUGUUCACUAGGAGGAGUAGGCAUUUUACUUUGAAAAAAUUAGAGUGUUUAAGGCAGGCAAUCGCCCGCAUAUAUUAGCAUGGAAUAAUAGAAUAGGACACUUUUCCAUUUCGUUGGUUAUUGGAAUCGUGUAAUGAUUAAUAGGGACAGUUGUGGGCAUUUGUAUUUAAUUGUCAGAGGUGAAAUUCUUGGAUUUAUUAAAGACAAACUAACGCGAAAGCAUUUGCCAAGGAUGUUUUCAUUAAUCAAGAACGAAAGUUAGGGGAUCAAAGACGUUCAGAUACCGUCCUAGUCUUAACUAUAAACUAUUCCGACUCAAUGUUUGACUGGCUUAUAUAACCAGUUGAGCGUUGUAUGAGAAAUCAAAGUCUUUAGGUUCUGGGGGGAGUAUGGUUGCAAAGCUGAAACUUAAAGGAAUUGACGGAAGAGCACAACCAGGAGUGGAUUCUGCGGCUUAAUUUGACUCAACACGGGGAAACUUACCAGGUUAAAACAAUAGUGGGAUUGACAGUUUGAGAGCGCUUUCUUGAUUGGUUGGGUGGUGGUGCAUGGCCGUUCUUAGUUGGUGGAGUGAUUUGUCUGCUUAAUUGCGUUAACGAACGAGACCUUAACCUGCUUACUAGACUGGCGAUCAUCAAUCGUUAGCUCUUCUUAGAGGGACUUUGGUUGUUUUAACUCCAAGGAAGUUUGAGGCAAUAACAGGUCUGUGAUGCCCUUAGAUAUCCUGGGCCGCACGCGUCA